rnacentral:rRNA from 1 species
GUGGGGAAUAUUGGGCAAUGGGCGAAAGCCUGACCCAGCAACGCCGCGUGAAGGAAGAAGGUUUUCGGAUUGUAAACUUCUGUCCUCAGGGAAGAAGGAAGUGACGGUACCUGAGGAGGAAGCCCCGGCUAACUACGUGCCAGCAGCCGCGGUAAUACGUAGGGGGCGAGCGUUGUCCGGAAUGACUGGGCGUAAAGGGCGCGUAGACGGCUGUCUAAGUCUGGAGUGAAAGUCCUGCUUUCAAGGUGGGAAUUGCUUUGGAGACUGGAUGGCUGGAGUGCGGAAGAGGUAAGUGGAAUUCCCAGUGUAGCGGUGAAAUGCGUAGAGAUUGGGAAGAACACCAGUGGCGAAGGCGACUUACUGGGCCGUAACUGACGUUGAUGCGCGAAAGCGUGGGGAGCGAACAGGAUUAGAUACCCUUGUAGUCC